rnacentral:rRNA from 1 species
UGCGCAGGCGGGCUUGUAAGUCAGUGGUGAAAUACUGCCGCUUAACGGUAGAACUGCCAUUGAUACCGCAAGUCUUGAAUAUGGUUGAGGUAGGCGGAAUGUGUUGUGUAGCGGUGAAAUGCAUAGAUAUGACACAGAACGCCGAUUGCGAAGGCAGCUUACUAAGCCAUUAUUGACGCUGAGGCACGAAAGCGUGGGGAGCGAACAGGAUUAGAUACCCUGGUAGUCC